rnacentral:lncRNA from 1 species
UUACAGGUGAUAGCGUGGUUGGAGAUGUAUCUGAUCCUUUAGAUGGCAUUUUGGUUGGUCAGACACUAAAGCGUCGAGUGGUGACAGAGCACUUAGUUGAACUGCAAAAACAUGGUAGACCAGAAAACCAAAGUCAAAACUUGAGAUUUGGCACGGAAAAUGAUAGACCACAAGAGUCUGUGCCCAACACCGACGCUAUCAGUGAUCAAAGUAAUUUUCCUUUUCUAUAAGGAGAUUAAAAUGUUGGUCUAUUUCUAUUAGACUGAAUAUGUGAAACAUGUAAUUAUAUCUUUCUGUUAGAAGUGCAGGAAGUUGCCUCUCUCUUCAGGUUGUCUCGGGUCCUUCUUGUGGACUUCAUUGUUCUGUACUGUCAACAAGCACUGCAAGGCUACCAUUGACCCUUGGAAGAGUUCCUCCAAGUUAUUUAUUAUUGAAGGAUUAUGAGGUUUCCGGAAAGCAUGCAAUGAUAACUUGGAAUUUAAAUGUAAACUCCUUAUAAGUUGAAUGACAUGAUUUGCAUUUUGUUGCAUUAUGUAUGUAUGGUUCACUAAGUGUUUUAAAUGUGUACAAACUUUAUAGAAAUUGAGAUGGGAGCUGGUGGACAUGGGUAGUCUGAACGGAACACUGUUGAAUUCUCAUCCAAUUAAUCAUCCUGAUCCUGGAAGUAGGCUAUGGGGUGACCCAGUGGAACUUGCAAGUGGAGACACAAUAACAGUUGGCACAACCUCAAACAUUUAUGUAAGUCAACUUCUUUUCAAUUUACUUGUAGUUCUGGCACUUUUGCUUUUAAAAAUGUCAAAUUUUCUAGUUAAAUUGUAAUAUAUCUAUAUGUAUUGGAGUUUGCAUGAACAAGAUCUUUUCUUUAUUCACUUCUUCAGGAUAUUGGAGUUUUUGCAAACUAGUAAAAUUUUAUUUUAGUAGUUUGAUGAGAUUGUCGUAAUCUGGGAACAUGAAUUUAGAAAUGACUUCCUUUCUUUCCUUUUUCUACUCAGGAUCAUCUCACUAAUGUUAAGUACCUUUUAAGAAAUUGUGUCAAAUGCAAGCAAUAUAUACAUUUGACGUUCUAAAAAUAUUUAACUUUUUUUUAAUUCUAUUUGUUGAAAAUUUUUUAUUUAUUCCCAAGGAACUCUCAUCUGCUUAUGUUCCAUAACUAUUCUUCUAUGUUGCUAAGAUAAAUUGAGGAACUGAACAGCAAUGGUGCAAAUCAGUUAUGAUAGAUAGCUUGUUGUCCAAUCAAUAAGAGAAGAUCAUUUAUGGUAAUGGGAUUGUGGACAUGAUUGUUCACUUAACUGCUUGAGUUUUCUGAUGGAUUCUUUUGUUGUUUAAGUAAUUUCUUUAAUGCGGUCAGUGCAUAUAAUAUGACCAUUUUUGUUUGUAAUGCAUGGCAUAUUGGAUUUGAAGCUAUUUUUACUGAUUGUUUUUUUUAUUUUUCUCCUGUAACAGGUUCAUAUUUCAUCCCACAAUGAGCGUCUGGUCCCUUUUGGAGUUGGUAUGACUUCAGACCCUAUGUCAUUGCGUCGAGGAGGAAAGAAGCUUCCAAUGGAAGAUGUUUGCUAUUAUCAUUGGCCUCUUCCUGGCAUUUAUCAGGUUUUCAAUUUUUGAUAUUUUAGUUUAUAUUUUUCUGCUUCUACCAGAAGCAACAGAAUUCGAUAUUUUUUUUGUGCUGAUAUUGCAGUUUGGAGUUUUUGGUAUCUGUGAUGGACAUGGUGGUGUUGGUGCAGCUAAAUCCGCAAGCAAGUUAGUCUCCCGUUCUCAUCUUGAGUGUGUUCUUGCCAGGGUUUGUGGCUAGUAAUGUGCUUGUUUUCCCACCGUGUCCACAGAUGGAGUGUUAUGGCUAUACAAAAUUAAUGUUGUCCUCAUAGUUUUUAGAGUUUGUUUUUCUUUUGUACUCUUUGAUACAUGUAUAUACAUGUUCUUCUGUGUUGUCUCGUGCUUAUUCUAAAUUGGCAAGUUCCAUACUGAAUGCCUGAAUUGUUCUUCUCCUGUAGUCUGAAGCUUUGAAUUUCAGAUCUAAGGUUUCUGAUAGGACAAAAUACUAGUAAUUCUGCCUUUUGUUAGCCAUUAUUUUGAUUUUUAAGGAACUAUUUUACUAAAAUUUGAAGAAUUUGAUGUCUAGGAUUCUGCCUGAGAUGGUUGCUACCAUUUUAACGGACUCUGUAAAAAGAGAGAGGGUUGUGUCAGGACAAGAUGCCUCAGAUGUUCUCAGAGAUGCAUUCUCUCAGACAGAAGCUUCUAUGAAUAACUAUUAUGAGGUUUUUCCUUCCCCUGUUUUAUCUUAUUUACUUUGCGGUUCUGUUUGCCCUUUCAUUGGCUAAUCUCUCAUAGUGCACCAGAAUGCACCUUAAUAUCCUCUACGUUAACCUGGAAACGGGGGUAUCAGAUAUGGGUAUGUGUCCGACACAAGUGUACUUAAACUUUUUCGAAGUUUUUCCAUAUACUUGGAAGAUGAUACUCUAUACUCGUGUUCAAAUGUGUCGAACGCAGGCACCAGACCUAGAUACUUUAAGGAAAAUGAAGAGUGCAUGUAGCAUAGAACGCCUUUGUAUGUUGUAUUUAUCCUUUCCCUUUUUGUAAUGGUUUGUACUAUGCUAGAACUAUUUAUUGUUGAAUAAUAAUAUAAAUAUUCUAGCUAUUGCAUUUUCUCUUCUUUGGACUUUUCGUGGCCUUUUGGUCUUCACUAGAUUUAAUUGUUUAUUUUCAAUUAUGGACCCUUUUUUCUGCCUUCGUUGAAGUUGGUUUUUUUUGUAUAUCAUCAUAGUUUUUUACUUGCAGGGCUGUACGGCGACACUGCUUCUGGUUUGGGCUGAUGCUGAUGAAAACUUUUUUGCACAAUGUGCAAAUGUUGGAGAUUCUGCAUGUUUUAUAAAGUAAGUGUUUCUAUUCUUAUUAUUCCAAUUCGUAGGAGCUGUAAGGUGACUGUUAUUUUACGAUCAAAUUCCAUUGUGUAAAAUAUGGGUUCACUCAGAAUUAGUUGUCUGCUAUUCUUAGGAAUAUUUUGAUUUGAAAGUUAAAAAUACAGGAUGGGUUGCUUUCAGCAAUUUGUAAAGAAAGCUAUUGGCAUAUGUUAGAAGCUACUUGUGCUAAGGUUUUGCUAGGUAGAAUAGAAAGAAAAUGAAAAAUAUGGAAAAUUGGAGUAGAAAAUAUAUGUUUUCUUUCCAUUGGUGUGUGUUUGGUAGGAAAAAAGGGAAAAUAGAAAGAAAAAGUAUAUUUUUUCAUUCAUUGCUUGGUAGAGUUGAAAAAUAAGAGGAAAGAAAAUGGAACUUUGGAAAAUCGUAUAAUUUUGAACUAACUUACAUCUCUCAUUUUCUUGCCUCUUAUAAUUUCAAUUGGAAAAAUGAUAGAAAAUGAUUAUCUCUUUUAUUUUAUUUUCUCUCACUUUUUAUUCCUACCAAAGACAUUCAAAGUAUAUUUUCUUUCCAUUUUUUUUCAUUCCCCCUUUUCAUCCUUCUUUUACACUCAACCAAGCAUACCUUAAUUGCUGUCAUUCUAGUCUCGGAUUCAUCUAACCAUGUCUUUAUAUUGAAGUACUGAUAAUAGUGACAAUUUUAGUUUGAUUGCUUUGCUGGAUGCUUCUUGUACUGUCAAUCUAUCUUAUUUCUGUCUUACCUUGAGCAGAAUUCUCUCCAUUUUUCUAUUUUUUGGUAUAAUUUUCUUAUCUUCUCAUCGUCUAUUUAGAAGCAAAAUGGUUAUUAUGAUAAUAGCUUCUGUUAUUGUACUUAUGACCCAAUACAAUUUUAAUGACAGCAUGGACGGUAAACAGAUUAAGAUGACUGAAGACCAUAAAGUAACGAGUUGUUCUGAAAGACUCCGAAUUGAAGGAAUAGGGGAACCAUUAAAAGAUGGGGAAACACGGUUAUGUGGUAAGUGCAAAUUUCUGCAUCUAGUCAUUACUGUCAGGAUUCAGCAGCAUCACAAAAUUAAGGUACAUCAUUUGCAUAUUUGACCAUUCCAUUUCAGGUUUGAACCUCGCUAGGAUGCUUGGAGACAAAUUUGUGAAACAGCAAGAUUCUCGCUUUAGUUCCGAGCCUUAUAUAAGUCAAGUUGUGCAUCUCAAAAAAUCAAGUGGCGCAUUUGCACUACUGGCAAGGUGAUUCUAUUUUUCUGUCACUGUUGGGAAUUUUUGUACGCUAAAAUGUAUUGCCAUUGUUGUAGGGGUAUUUUGUCAUCUACUUUAUCUGGACUGUUCAUUUUUCCUAAAGCAUUGGUGUCUGACAUAGAUUUGUACAUUAGUAUGGAGGGAUUGAUCUUCCAAAUAUAUGAAAAACCCAUAAAAAAAUUUUGAGCGUACCUAUAUCAAAAGGAUAUCCAUAUUAGACAUUGUUGAGGGGAGGCCAACUCGUUUUGGAGUUUUUUAAUUGUCAUCCGUUGGGAGCCAGCGGACCUCUCUACGGGUCGGUAUUAUCCCCUAGUUGGGGUUGUCUCCCGACUCUAGAAAGCGCUAGUGCCUGAGGUGAUAGGUUCAUAGAGCAGGAACGCCUUGUCAAAAUCAGUGCAUAGUCACCUACCAAAGGAAAUGUGGACGUUUGCCUAUGGUAGGGUUUGAACCCCCAACCUAUAGCUUAUAGGUCGUCUUGAGGGGAGCAUUUGUUGAGUAGAGGCCAUCUCCUUCCGGAAAAGUCUUUUAAAUGUCAUUUGUUGGGAGCCGACUAACCCUUCAAUGGUUUGGUAUUGUCUCUAGUCGGGGUUUUAUCUCUUGACUCUAGCGAGAGUCCAAGUGCUUGAGAGGAGCAUGGUAACAUUUGAUUUAGCUGUCGGCUUCCGAUAGAUGACACUUUGAAGAUUUCUCUGGAAGAAGUCGACCUCCCCCUCAACAGACAUUAACUUCCGAGUCCGGGUAAAUAUAGUCUGUCACUAAAGCCAUGUUUUAUCUACAUUUUUGGGUUUAGCUCGCAUAAUAUGAUCCAUUGUAGCUUGUCAUUAACACCUUUUUGUUUUAUUUACCUUUCCUAACCAGCCUUCUCGUGUUUUUCUUGUUUGGACUCUCUUUAUUAUUUGGACAUUUUGUUUGACAUAGUUGAAAUGUGGAUCUGAUUUGUGCACUGAUUGCAGUGAUGGAUUGUGGGAUGUUGUUAGCUUUAAGAAGGCAGUUCAAUUAGUUGUACAGGUAUUAUUGUUAUUAUUGUAACAUUAUAUAUAAUAUACAGUUUCUAGACUUGUGGUCCCAACUUGAUUUACCCGAAUCUUCCUACCCGAUUUAACCGUACAAAGUCAGCAACUUGAACCUGCCCAACCUGAAUCCAGAAAAGAUUCAAACCAAAGAUUACCUGAAUCUGAAAUAAUUUGAACUCGGAAUGAUUCAUACCCGAAAUACCCAAACUUGAGUGCCAAAACCUGAAAUUACUAGCUCUGGAAAAUCAUUAGGCAAAUCCGAAUGACCUGAGACUGAAACAACUCAAAACUGAAAUUACCCGUAUUAGAAAUGACUAGACCUGAAAAACUGAUAACCGAACCUGAAUGACCUGAAACCGAAACAACAAAUUUAUAUUUUAACCUGAUCUUAUAAUUGACCGUGUAGACGAGGGAGAGACAUCCGACAGAAACGGAGAAUUUGGCAGAGAAGAUUGCU